rnacentral:misc_RNA from 1 species
CCGAGUUUACAACUCCCAAACCCCUGUGAACAUACCUAUACGUUGCCUCGGCGGAUCAGCCCGCGCCCCGUAAAAAGGGACGGCCCGCCCGAGGACCCCUAAACUCUGUUUUUAGUGGAACUUCUGAGUAAAACCAUAAAUAAAUCA